UAUACAGUCCUGCAGUUGUUGCUUCCUUGAUUCCAAGAUUGUUAAUGUUCUUGAUUGGAGGUGAUGCUGAUGGUGGUACUUUAGAGUAUUGAUUUUUCAGUUUAUUCUUUUUAUUCUCCUGGUGAGCACUUUUCUCUGUUUUGGAAUCCUGCACCUACUGUUGUUUAUGAGUUGUGAGGGUGUGUGUUUUGAGCAUAUGUGGGUGACUGUGUCC